GGUGAAAUGGCCGAGUUUAAGCAAUAAAUUGUAAAUUUAUUAACGAAAUUAAAUUUCUUUCACCA
rnacentral:tRNA from 1 species